UACCCAGGGGCCGAAGCCUCCCGGUGGAUGGCUCGGCUCGGGCACCAAGAAGGGCGCGGCAAGCAGCGAAAUGCUCGGGUGAGGCGCAAAGCCGUUGACCCCGAGGUCCCCUAAUGGGAUAUCCU
rnacentral:rRNA from 1 species